rnacentral:rRNA from 1 species
ACGGAGGAUGCGAGCGUUAUCCGGAUUUAUUGGGUUUAAAGGGUGCGUAGGUGGACUGUUUAGUCAGUGGUGAAAUACUGAUGCUCAACGUUAGCAUUGCCGUUGAAACUGACAGUCUUGAGAGUGAUUGAGGCAGGCGGAAUGCGUGGUGGAGGGUGAAAAUAAAAAGAUCCCACACAGACCCCAAUGUGCAGGGGCUCCUUGCAAAGCCACAACUGACACUGAAGCACGAAAGCGUGGGGAUCAAACAG